UACGUAGGGGGCAAGCGUUGUCCGGAUUUAUUGGGCGUAAAGAGCGUGUAGGCGGCCAGAUAGGUCUGUUGUGAAAACUCGAGGCUCAACCUCGAGACGCCGAUGGAAACCAUUUGGCUAGAGUCCGGAAGAGGAGAGUGGAAUUCCUGGUGUAGCGGUGAAAUGCGCAGAUAUCAGGAGGAACACCGGUGGCGAAGGCGGGGUCUCUGGGCAGUAACUGACGCUGGAGGAGCGAAAGCGUGGGGAGCGAACAGG
rnacentral:rRNA from 1 species